UCGGGAAUUUUGGGCAAUGGGCGAAAGCCUGACCCAGCAACGCCGCGUGAGGGAUGAAGUAUUUCGGUAUGUAAACCUCGAAAGAAUGGGAAGAAUAAAUGACGGUACCAUUUAUAAGCUCCGGCUAACUACUUGCCAGCAGCCGCGGUAAUACGUAGGGAGCAAGCGUUGUUCGGAUUUACUGGGCGUAAAGGGCGCGUAGGCGGCGCGGUAAGUCACUUGUGAAAUCUCUGAGCUUAACUCAGAACGGCCAAGUGAUACUGCUGUGCUAGAGUGCGGAAGAGNCAACCGGAAUUCUUGGUGUAGCGGUGAAAUGCGUAGAUAUCAAGAGGAACACCUGAGGCGAAGGCGGGUUGCUGGGCCGACACUGACGCUGAUGCGCGAAAGCCAGGGGAGCAAACG
rnacentral:rRNA from 1 species